rnacentral:RNase_P_RNA from 1 species
UCAGAUGGCCGGAUGGCCGCUGUCCUUCGGGGCAGAGGAAAGUCCGGGCUCCACGGAAUCACGGUGCCGGCUAACGGCCGGCGGGGGCGACCCCAGGGAAAGUGCCACAGAGAACAGACCGCCCGGCUGAGGCUUCUGCCUUCCGGGUAAGGGUGAAACGGUGCGGUAAGAGCGCACCGCGCGACCGGUAACGGAAGCGGCACGGCAAACCCCACCGGGAGCAAAACCAAAUAGGGGCGGCAUCGUUGGUUCGCCGACAGGUCCGUUUCCGGGUCGCCGCCCGGGUUGGUUGCACGAGGCGUCCGGUAACGGACGUCCCAGAUGAAUGGCCAUCGCCCGCAAGGGUACAGAACCCGGCUUACAGGCCAUCUGACACU